rnacentral:rRNA from 1 species
GGGAUGUUCAUAACCCUUUGUUGUCCGACUCUGUUGCCUCCGGGGCGACCCUGCCUUCGGGCGGGGGCUCCGGGUGGACACUUCAAACUCUUGCGUAACUUUGCAGUCUGAGUAAACUUAAUUAAUAAAUUAAAACUUUUAACAACGGAUCUCUUGGUUCUGGCAUCGAUGAAGAACGCAACGAAAUGCGAUAAGUAAUGUGAAUUGCAGAAUUCAGUGAAUCAUCGAAUCUUUGAACGCACAUUGCGCCCCCUGGUAUUCCGGGGGGCAUGCCUGUUCGAGCGUCAUUUCACCACUCAAGCCUCGCUUGGUAUUGGGCAACGCGGUCCGCCGCGUGCCUCAAAUCGACCGGCUGGGUCUUCUGUCCCCUAAGCGUUGUGGAAACUAUUCGCUAAAGGGUGCUCGGGAGGCUACGCCGUAAAACAAACCCAUUUCUAAGGUUGACCUCGGAUCAGGUAGGGAUACCCGCUGAACUUAAGCAUAUCAAUAAGCGGAGGAAUAU